rnacentral:rRNA from 1 species
ACGGAAGGCAGCAGUGAGGAAUAUUGGUCAAUGGGCGAGAGCCUGAACCAGCCAAGUCGCGUGAAGGAUGAAGGUUCUAUGGAUUGUAAACUUCUUUUAUUCGAGGGUAAAGUGAGUCACGUGUGGUUCAUUGCAAGUAUCGAAUGAAUAAGCAUCGGCUAACUCCGUGCCAGCAGCCGCGGUAAUACGGAGGAUGCGAGCGUUAUCCGGAUUUAUUGGGUUUAAAGGGUGCGUAGGCGGGACGUUAAGUCAGUGGUAAAAGCGUGUGGCUCAACCAUACCAAGCCAUUGAAACUGUCGUUCUUGAGUGUAAACGAGGUAGGCGGAAUGUGACGUGUAGCGGUGAAAUGCUUAGAUAUGUCACAGAACCCCGAUUGCGAAGGCAGCUUACCAGCAUACAACUGACGCUGAGGCACGAAAGCGUGGGUAUCAAACAGGAUUAGAUACCCUGGUA